AUUGAACGCUGGCGGCAGGCUUAACACAUGCAAGUCGAGCGAGUGGCGGACGGGUGAGUAAUGUCUGGGAAACUGCCUGAUGGAGGGGGAUAACUACUGGAAACGGUAGCUAAUACCGCAUACCAUCAGAUGUACCCAUAUGGGAUUAGCUAGUAGGUGGGGUAAUGGCUCACCUAGGCGACGAUCCCUAGCUGGUCUGAGAGGAUGACCAGCCAAACUGGAACUGAGACACGGCCCAGACUCCUACGGGAGGCAGCAGUGGGGAAUAUUGGACAAUGGGCGAAAGCCUGAUGCAGCCAUGCCGCGUGUAUGAAGAAGGCCUUCGGGUUGUAAAGCACUUUCAGCGAGGAGGCGUGACCUGCAGAAGAAGCACCGGCUAACUCCGUGCCAGCAGCCGCGGUAAUUC
rnacentral:rRNA from 1 species